GAUGAACGCUGGCGGCGUGCCUAAUACAUGCAAGUCGAGCGACAGACGAGGAGCUUGCUCCUCUGACGUUAGCGGCGGACGGGUGAGUAACACGUGGAUAACCUACCUAUAAGACUGGGAUAACUUCGGGAAACCGGAGCUAAUACCGGAUAAUAUAUUGAACCGCAUGGUUCAAUAGUGAAAGACGGUUUUGCUGUCACUUAUAGAUGGAUCCGCGCCGCAUUAGCUAGUUGGUAAGGUAACGGCUUACCAAGGCAACGAUGCGUAGCCGACCUGAGAGGGUGAUCGGCCACACUGGAACUGAGACACGGUCCAGACUCCUACGGGAGGCAGCAGUAGGGAAUCUUCCGCAAAGGGCGAAAGCCUGACGGAGCAACGCCGCGUGAGUGAUGAAGGUCUUCGGAUCGUAAAACUCUGUUAUUAGGGAAGAACAAAUGUGUAAGUAACUAUGCACGUCUUGACGGUACCUAAUCAGAAAGCCACGGCUAACUACGUG
rnacentral:rRNA from 1 species